UCCUUGGAUGAAUUUAUUCGCGAAAAGUCUUUUCACUUUACGAACCACCCAUCGCUUUUUCUUAGGCCGGCCAGUCCCCAAUUUACAGCGGAUUUCAAAUGAGUUUCAUAGAUAGCUACUUUUUAGCUUUUACACUCCAGAGGGAAGGAUAUUAACUUUUUUACAAACCCUAUGCUAUAAUUACACUAAGCGACAUUUUGCCAAGUUAAGUGAGAGGAUCUGACCGAGGUUAGAGAAUUCUAUAUACCUACCAAGCAAAAAAAUAUUCCAUUUGCGCAAGUAAAAAGUGAACAAGAAAUUACUAAAGAAACUCAUUCUCUACUUUAACUGUUCUAUUAUCUUGAUUGAUUUCUAAAAAUAAGCCGCCAGCUCUAUAGAUUUCGAUUCAGGAAUUACAUUGACAAACAACUUAGCAUCAACCUAUUUAGCAUGGAUAAACGCCUCGAGCCAUAAAAUCAUACCCCUUGAACUUUUUGACCGUAUCAAUUUUGAGAAGCAUGACCUUGACUUGAUAAUCACACAGAGGAACCCUCCGGUUGAGUUGUAGAAAUUUCAACGCAACCGGUUUAAUAGCCCAUAAGUCAUUAUUUAAAAGCGAUGAUAAGUAUUUACCCUCGUUACUCAGGCACUGAAAGAAAAACUGGGCGAUUAUUUUUUCCUAACGCCUUCGGAAUCAAUAAUGAGUGAUUCUCUACUUUCAGAUCCACCUGCACUCGAGCGAUAAAAUUAAGGAAAUCUACGAAUCAGUUCCUCAAAAUAUUCUACCCAAAGAUUACGGUGGCGAGGAGGCAUCAUUUGACACUAUGAGCAGAGAGUCGGUUGAGAGACUGAAGAAGAACUACGAGGCUUUCGAGACGGAGGACAAGACGUAUGAUCUGCUCGCGACGACGCCUGAAUUCUCGAAGGCCGGCAACAAGAGCAGCAAGAAAUCCUCGAAGAAACAACAAGAGGACGUCCAGAUCACUUUCAAAAAGCUGGAGUUAGAUUGAGCCUCUGCCCCCAGUCGCAUCAAACUAAUUUCGUCCUUUCCCUCACGGAGGAGCGUAACUUCAUUUCAAUGUUGCCGAAUCUCCGCUCGCAUAUUGCAUAUUAAUAGGAGAAUCUUUGCACUUCCAACUGAAAACACUGAUUUUUCCUCACAUUUCAUGCAAAAAUCAGAAAAGUUUUGGAUAAAGAGUGGACAGGUAUUUGUAAAAUAAAUCAAUUUUUUAGUCAGUUUGGCGACCUUGGAAUGGAGUUACGUUCCUUCGUCAGAGAGACGACGCACAGUGGAUCGAAUCAAUAAGAGAGGUCGGAUAAAAUUUGGAAAACACGCUUAUAACUUAGUUUGUGCACAACUUUGAGGUUCUAAAAGUGGUUCCAUUUGUUUCCUCGUACAAUUUUCUUCUAGAAAUACCCCUUUUAAUUCAAAAUGUGACGAAAUAAACAUCAAAAUUGGCAGUUUUAGCCAAAAAUUUCAUGUCCGACCUCUCUCAUUGACUCGAUCCACUGUGCGACCCAUAACUCAGAAGUAUGUCACGUUACUUUGCUCGAUAGGUAUCGAUUAAUUUCUGUUAAUAGGGUUGAAAGAGAUUACGUCAUUGUUUGGUGUCAAUGCGA
rnacentral:lncRNA from 1 species